rnacentral:lncRNA from 1 species
AAACAGAUGACCCAACGUUGCCUAAGUUAGAACAUGCACCGCUGCUGCCCAGGCUCCAAUAAGGGCAGGGUUGGCGCGUGUGGGCUUCUCUAAAGGGAAACAUGGCCAGUAAUUUUAAAAUCCAUCCCCUCUUCAAUGAUAGCAAAUAUAAAAGCAACGGGCUGCAAGGUACACGUAUGUUUAAUGAAAAAUGGAGGGACGUGGUCACAUUAGAUGAAUCUGUACCUUGGGACCACCACACCGUUAAUAUAUAAGACUGGAUUACAAUUAAAGGAUGAGGAAGCUUUCUCAAAGGGUGCUUUGUAUGUGUUUACUAGUUGUGCAAACCAUGAACCUCGGUAAUGUGGUUAAUAGACCAUGAAAAGGAUGUGGUUUCUGCCCUCGGCUUAAAACAAAGACAGCAAUAAGACUAAAAGUACUUCAGGGCACAUGAGAGCAAAUUUCAAUCAAUACUUAUAGGAGAGGGAAGUUAAUUUUGCCUGAAGAGAAGAUCUGGCCUGCAUUAUGCAUUAAUUAGUAUUAGCUAAAAACUAUGUGGACCUAGCCCUUAUCAUUAAAAUAAAACACUCAAGGGUUUACAAACUAUUGAAAUUUAAGAAAAUGUCUUUGCAAUGAAUGCUACUAAGACUCACUGUUAUUAAGUACAUACAUAUCAAUUCCAUAAACUCAAUGGAAAACAUUUUACUGUGCUUGUAAAAAGAAGUGACUCAUAAACAGGAAUUCUGUCAUUUUAUCACUUUCAUGAUAGAAUGAUGUGUAGAAUUUGUUUUACAAUGCUCCAGAAAUAAAAUGUAGGGAAUGGAAAGAAGAUAGGUGAAAGAAAAGUGGUGCAACAUCAGUCAGUGUUGAAGCUAAGUUCAUUUUGCUACUUUACCUACUCAUGCAUAUGUUGGAAAAUUUACAAAAUGAAAAGCUAAAAGGAGAGAGAGCAUCUUCAGCAUGAAAGACAGCCAUUACCAAAGCAUUUCCUAUCUUUAACAAAAACUGAAGUCUUAGCCUUCAGACUAAGGAUGGUAGGAAGAAAGUAGCAAGGAAGUAUGGGACUGACCUUGCCGUAAGGAGUCACAGACCAGGCUGUCUCUCUUUUGGCCUGCUGCCAUCCGCGUAAGACAUGACUUACUCCUCCGUGCCUUCCACCAUGAUUGUGAGGCUUCCCCAGCCAUGAGGAACUAAUACCCAUCCCAUAGAUGUACUUGGGAUAGACAGCUUCUGGCACUCCUCCCAAGAUCUCUCCCUCCUGGUUACAAAAACCUGAGACUUCCAUUUUGCUGGAAACUUCUUUUCCUCUUGCACACUCACUCUGCGACUCUGUGUGGAGAGCUCCAUGUGACAAGGGAGGUCUGCAGCCUAAGCAACUGAGACCUCAGCCCAACAGCCCUCAAAGAACUGGAUCUUCAAACAACCACAUGAGUGACCUAGAAGCAAAUCUGUCACCAGUGCUCUUGAGACGGAGAAAAGAUCAUGAUCUAAGAGUCUACAAGACCAGAGCAGCCUGAAUUGCUGAGCUGCCUGGUGGAGAAUAGCAGCAUUGGGUGGUUCCCAGGAUUCUUAAAAGGACUUUACAAAGGAUUAGGUUGAGGUUCUGCAUUUUUGGCAAGAAUACCACAGAUGUGAUGCUGUACCUUUCUCAGUGCAGCCUAUGAGGUGGUUCAUGAAGAAAAUGUAUCAUAUUAUCAGUGAAUGUUAUCCUCGUUCCCUUAGUGAAGGUGGUACCUGCCAGCUUCUACACUGUAAUGGGUAUUCUUAUUAAAUCUGAUUAUCACUCUUCUAAUUGCUACUGAAACCAGGAAAAAAAAGCUCAGAAAAGAUGUCAUAUAUCUUCAAAUUGUUUAAAUAAAAUUAAUCACAGAU